rnacentral:rRNA from 1 species
UACGGAGGAUCCAAGCGUUAUCCGGAAUUACUGGGCGUAAAGGGUGCGUAGGCGGCUUUUUAAGUCGGAUGUGAAAACUCUGGGCUCAACCCAGAGCCUGCAUCCGAAACUGGAGAGCUUGGGUUCUGGAGGGGAAAGCGGAAUUCCUGGUGUAGCAGUGAAAUGCGUAGAUAUACGGAGGAACACCAGGGGCGAAGGCGGAUCGCUGGGCCAACACUGACGCUGAUGCGCGAAAGCUAGGGUAGCAAACGGG